GCAAUGGUAGUAUAAUUAAGUAUUUUUGUUUUCCAAACAAACGGUUUCUGUAAGAAUUAUUGUA
rnacentral:tRNA from 1 species